AUUGAACGCUGGCGGAAUGCUUUACACAUGCAAGUCGAACGGUAGAGGGGGCAACCCCUCGAGAGUGGCGAACGGGUGAGUAAUAUAUCGGAACGUGCCCAGUCGUGGGGGAUAACGUAGCGAAAGUUACGCUAAUACCGCAUACGAUCUAUGGAUGAAAGCGGGGGAUCGCAAGACAUCGCGCGAUUGGAGCGGCCGAUAUCAGAUUAGGUAGUUGGUGGGGUAAAGGCCCACCAAGCCAACGAUCUGUAGCUGGUCUGAGAGGACGACCAGCCAAAAUGGAACUGAGAGACGGGCCAGACUCCUACGGGAGGCAGCAGUGGGGAAUUUUGGACAAUGGGCGAAAGCCCGAGCCAGCCAUUCCGCGGGCAGGAUGAAGGCCCUCGGGUUGUAAACUGCUUUUGUACAGAACGAAAAGGUUUCUACUAAUACUAGGAGCUCAUGACGGUACUGUAAGAAUAAGCACCGGCUAACUACGUGCCAGCCGCCGCAGUAA
rnacentral:rRNA from 1 species